GAAUAUUGGACAAUGGGGGGAACCCUGAUCCAGCCAUGCCGCGUGGGUGAAGAAGGCCUUUUGGUUUUAAAGCACUUUAAGCGAGGAGGAGGAGCUCUUGGUUAAUACCCAAGAUGCUUGGACGUUACUCGCAGACUAAGCGCCGGCUAACGCUGUGCCAGCAGCCUCGGUAGUACAGAGGGUGCAAGCGUUAAUCGGAUGUACUGUGCGUAAAGGGCGCGUAGGUGGACAAUUAAGUCGAAUGUGAAAUCCCCGAGCUUAACUGGGGAAUUGCAUUCGAUACUGGUUGGCUAGAGUAUGGGAGAGGAUGGUAGAAUUCCAGGUGUAGCGGUGAAAUGCGUAGAGAUCUGGAGGAAUACCGAUGGCGAAGGCAGCCAUCUGGCCUAAUACUGACACUGAGGUGCGAAAGCAUGGGGAGCAAACA
rnacentral:rRNA from 1 species